rnacentral:sRNA from 1 species
UGAAAGACGCGCAAUUAUUAUCAUUCCUAUUUUUCCAGAAGUUUUUAUUUGGCCACUAUUAUUAGUGGCCAUUUUC